rnacentral:pre_miRNA from 1 species
UUUUUACUCCCUCCGUCCGAAAAUACUUGUCAUCAAAAUGGAUAAAAAGAGAUGUAUCUAAAACUAAAAUAUGUCUAGAUACAUUUCCUUUUAUCCAUUUUGAUGACAAGUAUUUCCGGACGGAGGGAGUAUUUG